rnacentral:lncRNA from 1 species
GAUUUGUUUGCAGCCAUAAUUUUUAUUCAGAAUUACCCUACUGACAAACAGAAAAUUCAAGUCCACGGCAUUUUGUAACAACAUAGAAUAAAUCUUGUUUUGCAGAUCUGCAGACAGAGCAGAAUGUGUGCAGAGAAAAUAAGGAAAAAAAUCAAGGGGGGAAAAAAUCCCCAUUGCCGUAAAACAGAAUAACUAAAAUCCUGGUGAAAAUGUAACACAUAGUGUUAAAGAAUUUUUUUUGAAAUGAAAACUAUUUAAAUAACAUUGCAGUUAAUUAAAAUUAAUAAAACAUUUAGUGCCACAAUUUAUAAGGUUUUAAUGUCAGAGCNUAGCAUUUAAUUAGAUUAUAUAAACAAGCAACAUUUUAGUGCAUGGUAACAGGGUAAGUACUUUAAAAAUCUGGCAGAAAAUAGNUUCUUCGGUAAGGGCCUUUCUGCACUUACCUAGAGCACUUCCAUUCCAGUUGGUCAGGAACAAGUGAUCCAUCCCAAGGCUGGGAGGAUCGCUCUGGGCCAGAACAAUACUACUGGUGUUCCAGCCUAGUCCCCACACUGACUUUAGAGCUAGUGCAAGCUUUGGAGCUGGCCUGCACAAGCUCCAAAGGUCAGGGACAAAGGUUCCUGGGCUCGGAGCCUCUGGGAGACCCAUUUCAGAGGCACAAUAAGGAUCUCCCUGUAACAGGAACAUGGAGGCAUGCAUCUAGUACAUGCAUCCAUGUUCCUGACUAGGCUGAACUGGUAUGCCGGUAGACCUUGACAUCAAGGUCUACCGGUGAUCAAGAUCAAGGACCCUCUAAUGCACUUGCUAGUGUAAAAAGGUCCUAAUUGGUCAAACCUUGGAGUUUAGUAUUAGUGCCUUUUGCUUCACAGCCCCAUCAAAUUAAAAAAUGUUCUCUGUGCAUUUCUAUCAAAAAGUAGGUGUUCUUUCAAUUCUGUUAAUGCAAAGCCUUAGGGAAAAGAGAACCUUGACCUACCCAAUAGAUAACAACAUCCCUAAGUUCACUCUCUGUUUUCCAGGCAGAACUGUAGCAACUCCUAGAAGGAUUCAUUACUUAUUUACAUCCUUGGGCAAGACCAUAACAGCCAUACCACAAUGUCUUUUCCAAGCAAUUUUGCAACAGGAAGUGGCAGGAGCUGUUCAAGCACUACAAGUCUGGUUGUAUAUUGCUUGUGUCCAGGCCAUUUAUUUUGAACCCAGGUACCAAAUAAGUUAUUUGGUAUUGAGAAGUUAUAAUAUAGUUAGGUACAGUGAAUUUGUGACUAGUGGUGUUGCCUAG